rnacentral:rRNA from 1 species
CCUACGGGGGGCAGCAGUGGGGAAUAUUGCACAAUGGGGGAAGCCUGAACCAGCCAAGUCGCGUGAGGGAUUAAGGCCCUGCGGGUCGUAAACCUCUUUUGCCGGGGAGCAGAGGUCCGGACGUGUCCGGGCCGGGAGAGUACCCGGAGAAAAAGCAGCGGCUAACUCCGUGCCAGCAGCCGCGGUAAUACGGGGGAUGCGAGCGUUAUCCGGAUUGAUUGGGGUAAAAGGGUGCGUAGGCGGGCAUUUAAGCCGGCGGUCAAAUGUCGGGGCGCAACCCCGGCCUGCCGGCGGAACUGGGUGCCUUGAGUGGGCGAGAAGUAUGCGGAAUGCGUGGUGUAGCGGUGAAAUGCAUAGAUAUCACGCAGAACCCCGAUUGCGAAGGCAGCAUACCGGCGCCCUACUGACGCUGAGGCACGAAAGUGCGGGUAUCGAACAGGAUUAGAUACCCCAGUAGUC